GGACUACCGGGGUUUCUAAUCCUGUUUGCUCCCCACGCUUUCGAGCCUCAGCGUCAGAAACGUUCCAGAGCGCCGCCUUCGCCACCGGCCUUCCUCCCGAUCUCUACGCAUUUCACCGCUACACCGGGAAUUCCGCGCUCCUCUCCCGUCCUCAAGCCGAGCAGUCCCCUCUGCACUUUCCGGGUUAGGCCCGGAGAUUUCACGGAGGGCUUACCCAACCGCCUACGCUCCCUGUACGCCCAGUGAAUCCGAACAACGCUUGCCACCUUCGUAUUACCGCGGCUGCUGGCAC
rnacentral:rRNA from 1 species